UACGAAGGGGGCUAGCGUUGUUCGGAAUUACUGGGCGUAAAGCGCACGUAGGCGGAUACUUAAGUUAGGGGUGAAAUCCCAGGGCUCAACCCUGGAACUGCCUUUAAUACUGGGUAUCUUGAGUUCGAGAGAGGUGAGUGGAAUUCCGAGUGUAGAGGUGAAAUUCGUAGAUAUUCGGAGGAACACCAGUGGCGAAGGCGGCUCACUGGCUCGAUACUGACGCUGAGGUGCGAAAGCGUGGGGAGCAAACAGG
rnacentral:rRNA from 1 species